rnacentral:rRNA from 1 species
UACAGAGGGGGCAAGCGUUGUUCGGAAUUACUGGGCGUAAAGGGCGCGUAGGCGGCCUGUUAAGUCGAACGUGAAAUCCCCGGGCUCAACCCGGGAACUGCGUCCGAUACUGGCAGGCUUGAAUUCGGGAGAGGGAUGCGGAAUUCCAGGUGUAGCGGUGAAAUGCGUAGAUAUCUGGAGGAACACCGGUGGCGAAGGCGGCUAUCUGGACCGACAUUGACGCUGAGGCGCGAAAGCGUGGGGAGCAAACAGG